UACGGGGGGGGCAAGCGUUGUUCGGAAUUACUGGGCGUAAAGGGCUCGUAGGCGGCCAUUUAAGUCAGACGUGAAAUCCCUCGGCUUAACCGGGGAACUGCGUCUGAUACUGGACGGCUUGAGUUUGGGAGAGGGAUGCGGAAUUCCAGGUGUAGCGGUGAAAUGCGUAGAUAUCUGGAGGAACACCGGUGGCGAAGGCGGCAUCCUGGACCAACACUGACGCUGAGGAGCGAAAGCGUGGGGAGCGAACAGG
rnacentral:rRNA from 1 species